AUUUCAAAGUGGUGUGGAACAGAAACAGUUCAGUCAAUUUUUAAAUGUUUUUUUUUGUGAAUAAAAAAAAAGGAAAUACUGAAUUGGCAGUUACAAUUUGUGUGUUUUAUUGUUUUAUUUGUGUGGCGUAUCUAAACAAUUUGAAUAACGCCGCGCAUAAAUCCACAAUUGGACAACGCCAUCCGACUUGGACGAAAAAGAAGCGGGCAUCCCCAACAAUUAUUUUUGUAUCGCCAGGUGCGGCACAGGGGUUCCAGGCAACGAAAAGGUUCUGGAAACGGCCAAAGACCUGGGAUACUGCCAGUGAAUAGCCCUUGGAACAGGCAACAUUACCAAUCCGGGAAGCUAACCAGUAGAUCCCACCUAAAAAUCUGUAAAAAGAAGAUAAAAAGUUGCCUAAGUAUGCCGUUGUGAAGGUAAUGUAAUUCAAAAUUUAAGUUACUUACCAAAGAAAAGAAAGAAAGCCAAAUCCCGCUAAAAAAAAAAAAAGUCAUAUGAAGUUCCUUUUCCUUUGACGGAAACACCACUGAAAUAAAAAAAAAUAUGAAAUUCAUCAAUUAAUCCGAAUUUGACUAAAAGAAAAAAAGAAGCUAUAAAAAAAUAUUUGUUUGUUAGUGUGAAGUUUAGUAUAUAAGUUAAACGUAUUGUUUGUAGUUAGAUAAAUAGUGCUUAAGAUACAAAUGUGAGGAAAAUUAAUGCCCAUUAAAUCUUAUUGUUAGUGAGUGUAGGGUUGCCUCAAAAUUUUACAGCUAGAAAAUUUCGAUUUUUCUGUUUGGGACAAGGAUUUGAAAUGCCCAAAAGAUUUGUCUAAGUGAGCUCCUUUAGGCAGAAAUUUAAAGUACUUGUAUUGGCCAAAAUUGGCGCUUCUAGCAGGGUAAUAAAAAAGGUAAUCUGAGUAUUGACUCACAAUUUUUGUUUUUCGUUCGGGUAUUAAUAAUCCAGUUUUUUUUUAUGUGUUCGUGUUGAAAUUAGUUUUAAGAGAACGAUAAUGAUUCUAAUAAAUAAGCUUAAUGUCUAAUUGUCUGAAGAAAUAA